AUGACAUCCAUUUCGAAGACCAUGAGUUUGAGGUGGACGAGGAGGGUGAGGGAAUUGUCGAGGCGCCGAAAGGAAGAGCGGGCAAUUACUCAACCAACGAUGACAAGUUACUAUGCCAUACUUAUUUGCAAGUGUCGAGGGAUCCAUCCAUUGGAGGUGAUCAAAGUAGAGACGUGUAUUGGGGGCGAAUGA
rnacentral:rRNA from 1 species